AAUUUUGUUUUGGUCUUUUUUCCUGGAUAGUUCUUUAGACUCACUUAAUUUACAUAAAAUCUAGGUCAGGCGUCUACGAACCGAUCGGUUUAACCAAAGGCGUUUGCCAAGCACACCGUCGAACCGUUGCAGAUAACGAAUCUCGUGGACACGCGUAUUAUAGUUAACGGGUAGUUAUACUGAUUUCGUCGGCAGGUAAGUGUACAUACUAUUUGUUUACGUUCCGCGUGUACAUACACACAGUACCUACGCGCGAAGGGAAACGGCUACGCAAACGUGGACUCGAUUUAUCGAUUCGGUCGGGAGAACAUUUU